CCUACGGGAGGCAGCAGUAGGGAAUAUUGCUCAAUGGGGGAAACCCUGAAGCAGCAACGCCGCGUGGAGGAUGAAGGUUUUCGGAUUGUAAACUCCUUUUGUUAGAGAAGAUAAUGACGGUAUCUAACGAAUAAGCACCGGCUAACUCCGUGCCAGCAGCCGCGGUAAUACGGGGGGUGCAAGCGUUACUGGGAAUCACUGGGCGUAAAGAGCGCGUAGGCGGGAUAGAAAGUCAGAUGUAAAACCCUAUGGCUAAACCAUAAACCUGCAUUUAAACCUGUAAUUCUGGAGUAUGGGAGGGGUAGGAGGAAUUCUUGGUGAAGGGUAAAAUCCGUAGAGAUCAAGAGGAAUACUCAUGGCGAAGGCGACCUGCUAGAACAUAACUGACGCUGAUGCGCGAAAGCGUGGGGAGCAAACAGGAUUAGAUACCCUGGUAGUC
rnacentral:rRNA from 1 species